UACGAAGGGGGCGAGCGUUGUUCGGAAUUACUGGGCGUAAAGGGCGCGUAGGUGGCCUUCUAAGUUGAACGUGAAAUCCCUGGGCUCAACCCAGGAACUGCGUCCAAGACUGGGAGGCUUGAAUCCGGGAGAGGGAUGCGGAAUUCCAGGUGUAGCGGUGAAAUGCGUAGAUAUCUGGAGGAACACCGGUGGCGAAGGCGGCAUCCUGGACCGGUAUUGACACUGAGGCGCGAAAGCCAGGGGAGCAAACGGG
rnacentral:rRNA from 1 species